CUCUUCUCCAGUCACUGGUGGUGGGAAGGGAGGGGAGGGGAGUGAGGGCACGGGGGCGGAGACGGACGGACCCAAUGGGAUGGUGGGGAGGAGGGUGGGUAUCGGCUCCGGUCUCCUCUCUCUCUUCGGUCCCGAACCGACCAUCUACGCGCUCAUCUCCACAGACGGUUUCCGGUUCCCCUUACCCUCCGCUGCCGUCCGGGUCGCUGCCGCCGCCGCCGCCGCCGCGGCCGCGGCCGCGGCCGGUGGGCGUGGUCAAGGUCAUGGUUCGGGAGGAGCGGCGGCACGUGUGCGUCUUGGGGUUGGUGUCGGUGUUGGAGGGGAAAGGGGAAGGAGGGGAGUUACCUGGACCUGGACUACGUAGAUGUGUGUUACGACAAGCGGUCGGAGGCUGCGGUUCCCCCAAACGACUAACCUCACGCAGAUGGUCACGGAAGUGCAGGGAACGACACGUCUCGUGAGGAAGGUGUCGAUGACGGUUACGUAUGGUAAUGUCGGAUAGAGGAACGAUACGAAAGACCUGGGUAAUGUACGAAUUGUUCUUACGUAUAUCGAUGAUAGGACGUGGAUUAGUCCUCGUGUGGGUGGGAAAGUCGGAACUAUUGUUGGUCCGAUUUCUAGGUCCAAGAUAUGGGUCGAAGCCCUAGCUCAGUAAAUUAUGUUGUAGGGACCGUGGUUUGUACAGACGAGUAUACGGAGGGUACCUUCCUGGGGAUGGAUGUUUCCUUGGACUCCGAGGUCUCCUGUACGGACGAUCUCAUCGAUGUUAAUUCCUGCUUUACCUACGGUCUUUACCACAACUUGAAUUUACACUUUGUCAACUGCGAGAAGGUCUCAACUUCGUUCCAGUACUUUCAACACGGUCAUUUAAGUUGAGACCUCUUAUGGUUCAAUAAAACGCGUUCCUUAACUGUUUCUCACUACAACGCUUACAUCCUUCUUAACACAAUGGGUUCUUCCUACGUCUUCGAUCAGAAGGUGGUAACACGCUUUCCCUAGGACACUAUGACGUCUACCUACUGUACCACGAAGGCUAAUGCACCUUUAAAUUCAUGUCCAAGACCGGUUUGUUGUUUUCGUCUUACAUGUAGGACCUAAGAUGUUCACUUAAACACUUCUGUGUACCAGAAGUCCGUCCCCUGCGUGAGUAAUAGAUGUUUUUAGGACACGGACCGUUUAUAUAACAGGCUCCCCUCUUCCGGUAAGUCGUCUGUUUAAUCUCGUACACCUACACUAACGCUGGCACAGUCACUCCUGUAAAGUUCCCUCCUUACACCCAAGCGUUAGGUUCCCUUGAGCUGUCUCAACUCGACCGACCCCUUAAGUACUGUCAGACUGAACAAUUGACCCCUCACUUGCCUUUUUCUAACCUGCACGCACGACAGUUUCUCGAACGAAGAUGUCACGCUGUAGGUUUUAUCGUAAACGCCAAGACAUUUAUAAGAGCCUAGGUAUUCUAUUUACUUCACCGCACCUGAAACCUGCACGAUACUACAAAGAGACAGUGUCUUCUUAGUC
rnacentral:rRNA from 1 species